rnacentral:lncRNA from 1 species
CCUUCUUGCUUUCUCCAGCUGCUUUCUCUUGUUUCGUCAUUUUUUCAUUUUUUUUCUUCUAUGCUUGCUUUUUUUCUUGUGUUUUGUACAGAUUUGUUCGCGGUAGGGGAGCUCGCGGGCAGUCCCCGGUGCUCCUCAACCCUAGGCCCAAGCUGCGGACCGGCGCUACUCCGCGGCAUGGAUGACACUGCAGAAGCAGGCGGCGGAGGACGGAGCCAUUGCCGCGGCGCGCGACGUGGAGUAGCGGCUGGACGCACCCCGGUCAGGCUCUGCUCCGCGGCGUGGAUGAUGCUAAAGAAGCAGGUGGCGUAGGACGGAGCUGUUGCC